UAUUUAUUUUAUUAUAUUUAUUUUUUGUUUAUUUAAUUAUUUAAUAAAAAUAAUUUUGUUGAAUUUUGUCUUAGUAUAUUUUGUAGAAUUGAUUUUUUAUAUUAUAGUUUAUUGGUAAUGUAAUUGUUUUAUGAAAUAUUAUUUUAAAUUUUUAAAAGUAGAUUUUAUUUAUUGUACCUUUUGUAUCAGGGUUUAUCAAAAUUUUAGUAUUUACUUUACUUGUCUCGAUUUGGGUUGAUUUAUAAAUAAUUUAUAGUUAAUGUAUCAUAAUUCUUAUUAAAUUAUUUAUAGAAAUGAGAUGUUAACCGUUUCCCAAGAUAUCUAGUUUCUUAAGAAAAAAUUUAAUUUUUUAAAGUUAAUUGUUUUUAUUUAAUUUUUUAAGUAUAAAUAUUAACUUAUUUAUUCUUUAAGGGAUAAGCUUUGAAGUUAAUAACCUAUAAUUUGUUUUAAUAAAAUAUAAUAGUAAGCUUUAAACCAGCUAUCUUUAAGAUUACGUUUUAGUUCAUUAUUUUUAUUUUUGAUUUUAUAACUAUUUUAGGUUUUUUAUUAAGAUUAUAAAUUUAAUUUUUAAAUUUUUGUAAUAAUGAUAGAAUUAGUAUAUUUAUUUGUAUAUAAUUUUUACCUUGGUAAUUUAUUAUAAGGAACUAGGC
rnacentral:rRNA from 1 species